rnacentral:rRNA from 1 species
UACGUAGGGGGCAAGCGUUGUCCGGAAUCAUUGGGCGUAAAGCGCGUGUAGGCGGCUCGAUAAGUCUGCUGUGAAAGUCCAGGGCUCAACCCUGGGAUGCCGGUGGAUACUGUCGAGCUCGAGUCCGGAAGAGGCGAGUGGAAUUCCUGGUGUAGCGGUGAAAUGCGCAGAUAUCAGGAGGAACACCAAUGGCGAAGGCAGCUCGCUGGGACGUGACUGACGCUGAGACGCGACAGCGUGGGGAGCAAACAGG